CGGGUGGUAAUGCCGGAUGCUCCAGUUGAUCGCAUGGUCUUCUGGGAAAGCUUUCGCGGUAUGGGAUGGGGUCGCGUCCUAUCAGCUUGACGGCGGGGUAACGGCCCACCGUGGCUUCGACGGGUAGCCGGCCUGAGAGGGCGACCGGCCACAUUGGGACUGAGAUACGGCCCAGACUCCUACGGGAGGCAGCAGUGGGGAAUAUUGCACAAUGGGCGCAAGCCUGAUGCAGCGACGCCGCGUGAGGGAUGGAGGCCUUCGGGUUGUAAACCUCUUUUAUCGGGGAGCAAGCGAGAGUGAGUUUACCCGUUGAAUAAGCACCGGCUAACUACGUGCCAGCAGCCGCGGUAAUACGUAGGGUGCAAGCGUUAUCCGGAAUUAUUGGGCGUAAAGGGCUCGUAGGCGGUUCGUCGCGUCCGGUGUGAAAGUCCAUCGCUUAACGGUGGAUCCGCGCCGGGUACGGGCGGGCUUGAGUGCGGUAGGGGAGACUGGAAUUCCCGGUGUAACGGUGGAAUGUGUAGAUAUCGAAAAAAAACACC
rnacentral:rRNA from 1 species